rnacentral:rRNA from 1 species
UACGUAGGGUGCAAGCGUUGUCCGGAAUUAUUGGGCGUAAAGAGCUCGUAGGCGGUUUGUCGCGUCUGCUGUGAAAACUCGGGGCUUAACCCUGGGCCUGCAGUGGGUACGGGCAGACUAGAGUGCGGUAGGGGAGACUGGAAUUCCUGGUGUAGCGGUGAAAUGCGCAGAUAUCAGGAGGAACACCGGUGGCGAAGGCGGGUCUCUGGGCCGUAACUGACGCUGAGGAGCGAAAGCAUGGGGAGCGAACAGG